rnacentral:tRNA from 1 species
GUAGUGUAAUGGUAGCACAGCAGCUUUUGGAGCUGCGCGUCUAGGUUCGAAUCCUAGC